GCAUUGGUGGUUCAGUGGUAGAAUUCUCGCCUGCCACGCGGGAGACCUGGGUUCGAUUGCUGGCCAAUGCA
rnacentral:tRNA from 1 species